UACGUAGGGUGCAAGCGUUGUCCGGAAUUAUUGGGCGUAAAGAGCUCGUAGGCGGUUUGUCGCGUCUGCUGUGAAAACCCGAGGCUCAACCUCGGGCCUGCAGUGGGUACGGGCAGACUAGAGUGCGGUAGGGGAGAUUGGAAUUCCUGGUGUAGCGGUGGAAUGCGCAGAUAUCAGGAGGAACACCAAUGGCGAAGGCAGAUCUCUGGGCCGUAACUGACGCUGAGGAGUGAAAGCAUGGGGAGCGAACAGG
rnacentral:rRNA from 1 species